rnacentral:rRNA from 1 species
UACGUAGGGGGCAAGCGUUGUCCGGAUUUAUUGGGCGUAAAGAGCGUGUAGGCGGCUUUACAGGUCCGUUGUGAAAACUCGAGGCUCAACCUCGAGACGCCGGUGGAAACCGUAAAGCUAGAGUCCGGAAGAGGAGAGUGGAAUUCCUGGUGUAGCGGUGAAAUGCGCAGAUAUCAGGAAGAACACCCGUGGCGAAGGCGGCUCUCUGGGACGGUACUGACGCUGAGACUCGAAAGCGUGGGGAGCAAACAGG